rnacentral:rRNA from 1 species
GUGAGGUAACGGCUCACCAAGGCAUCGACGGGUAGCUGGUCUGAGAGGACGAUCAGCCACACUGGGACUGAGACACGGCCCAGACUCCUACGGGAGGCAGCAGUAGGGAAUCUUGCGCAAUGGGCGAAAGCCUGACGCAGCAACACCGCGUGGGGGGUGAAUGCCUUCGGGUUGUAAACCCCUUUCAGCAGGGACGAAAAUGACGGUACCUGCAGAAGAAGCCCCGGCCAACUACGUGCCAGCAGCCGCGGUAAUACGUAGGGGGCAAGCGUUGUCCGGAUUUAUUGGGCGUAAAGAGCUCGUAGGCGGUUCGGUAAGUCGGGUGUGAAAAUCCAAGGCUCAACCUUGGGACGCCACCCGAUACUGCUGUGACUAGAGUCCGGUAGAGGAGUGCGGAAUUCCUGGUGUAGCGGUGAAAUGCGCAGAUAUCAGGAGGAACACCUGCGGCGAAGGCGGCACUCUGGGCCGGUACUGACGCUGAGGAGCGAAAGCAUGGGGAGCAAACAGGAUUAGAUACCCUGGUAGUCCAUGCCGUAAACGUUGGGCACUAGGUAUGGUGGGUUAAUCAACGCCUGCCGUGCCGUAGCUAACGCAUUAAGUG